rnacentral:rRNA from 1 species
CCUACGGGUGGCAGCAGUGGGGAAUCUUGCACAAUGGAGGAAACUCUGAUGCAGCGAUGCCGCGUGAGUGAAGAAGGCCCUUGGGUUGUAAAGCUCUUUCGUCGGGGAAGAAAAUGACUGUACCCGAAUAAGAAGGUCCGGCUAACUUCGUGCCAGCAGCCGCGGUAAUACGAAGGGACCUAGCGUAGUUCGGAAUUACUGGGCUUAAAGAGUUCGUAGGUGGUUGAAAAAGUUAGUGGUGAAAUCCCAGAGCUUAACUCUGGAACUGCCAUUAAAACUUUUCAGCUAGAGUAUGAUAGAGGAAAGCAGAAUUUCUAGUGUAGAGGUGAAAUUCGUAGAUAUUAGAAAGAAUACCAAUUGCGAAGGCAGCUUUCUGGAUCAUUACUGACACUGAGGAACGAAAGCAUGGGUAGCGAAGAGGAUUAGAUACCCCAGUAGUC